rnacentral:rRNA from 1 species
UACGGAGGGGGCUAGCGUUGUUCGGAAUUACUGGGCGUAAAGCGCACGUUGGCGGAUAUUUAAGUCAGGGGUGAAAUCCCGGGGCUCAACCCCGGAACUGCCUUUGAUACUGGGUAUCUCGAGUCCGAGAGAGGUGAGUGGAAUUCCGAGUGUAGAGGUGAAAUUCGUAGAUAUUCGGAGGAACACCAGUGGCGAAGGCGGCUCACUGGCUCGGUACUGACGCUGAGGUGCGAAAGCGUGGGGAGCAAACGGG